rnacentral:rRNA from 1 species
CCUACGGGUGGCAGCAGUGGGGGAUAUUGCACAAUGGGGGGAACCCUGAUGCAGCGACGCCGCGUGGGUGAAGGAGCGCCUCGGCGCGUAAAGCCCUGUCAGCAGGGAAGAAAAUGACGGUACCUGAAGAAGAAGCCCCGGCUAACUACGUGCCAGCAGCCGCGGUAAUACGUAGGGGGCAAGCGUUAUCCGGAUUUACUGGGUGUAAAGGGGGCGCAGACGGCGAUGCAAGCCAGGAGUGAAAGCCCGGGGCCCAACCCCGGGACUGCUCUUGGAACUGCGUGGCUAGAGUGCAGGAGGGGCAGGCGGAAUUCCUGGUGUAGCGGUGAAAUGCGUAGAGAUCAGGAGGAACACCGGUGGCGAAGGCGGCCUGCUGGACUGCAACUGACGUUGAGGCCCGAAAGCGUGGGGAGCAAACAGGAUUAGAUACCCCAGUAGUC